rnacentral:rRNA from 1 species
CCCAGGUCAGGCGGGACUACCCGACGAGUUUAAGCAUAUCAAUAAGCGGAGGAGAAGAAACUUACGAGGAUUCCCCUAGUAAGGGCGAGCGAACCGGGAAUAGCCCAACUUGAGAAUCGUGCGAUCACGUCGCUCGAAUUGUAGUCUGGAGAAGUGUCCUCAGCGGCGGACCGGGCCCAAGUCCCUUGGAAAGGGGCACCCGAGAGGGUGACAGUCCCGUCGUGCCCGGG